rnacentral:rRNA from 1 species
AACGUAGGUGGCAGGCGUUAUCCGGAAUUACUGGGCGUAAAGCGUGCGCAGGCGGUUCGUUAAGUCAGAUGUGAAAGCCCCGGGCUCAACCUGGGAACUGCAUUUGAAACUGGCGGGCUUGAGUAUGGCAGAGGGGGGUGGAAUUCCGCGUGUAGCAGUGAAAUGCGUAGAGAUGCGGAGGAACACCGAUGGCGAAGGCAGCCCCCUGGGCCAAUACUGACGCUCAGGCACGAAAGCGUGGGGAGCAAACAGG